AUACGGAGGGUCCGAGCGUUAAUCGGAAUUACUGGGCGUAAAGCGCGCGUAGGCGGAUAUUUAAGUCAGAUUUGAAAUCCCUGGGCUCAACCUAGGAACUGCAUUUGAAACUGGAUAUCUAGAGUAUGGUAGAGGUGAGUGGAAUUUCAGGUGUAGCGGUGAAAUGCGUAGAGAUCUGAAGGAACAUCAGUGGCGAAGGCGACUCACUGGGCCAUUACUGACGCUGAGGUGCGAAAGCGUGGGUAGCAAACAGGAUUAGAAACCCCAGUAGUCC
rnacentral:rRNA from 1 species